rnacentral:rRNA from 1 species
GACGAACGCUGGCGGCGUGCUUAACACAUGCAAGUCGAACGGAAAGGCCCUGCUUUUGUGGGGUGCUCGAGUGGCGAACGGGUGAGUAACCCGUGAGUAACCUGCCCUUGACUUUGGGAUAACUUCAGGAAACUUGGGCUAAUACCGGAUAGGAGCUCCUGCUGCAUGGUGGGGGUUGGAAAGUUUCGGCGGUUGGGGAUGGACUCGCGGCUUAUCAGGUUGUUGGUGGGGUAGUGGCUCACCAAGGCUUUGACGGGUAGCCGGCCUGAGAGGGUGACCGGGCACACUGGGACUGAGACACGGACCAGAGUGCUACGGGAGGCAGCAGUGGGGAAUGUUGGACAAUGGGCGGAAGCCUGAUCCAGCAAUGCCGCGUGCAGGAAGAAGGCCGUCGGGUUGUAAACUGCUUUUGUACGGAACGAAAAGGCUCUGGUUAAUACCCGGGGCUAAUGACGGUACCGUAAGAAUAAGCACCGGCUAACUACGUG